AUUUAGGGUUACGAGUGAGACAUCUCGAAGGGAAUUUUUCAGGCCACUUUCAUUCGGCGCCUGUUAGGCAGCGGCGCAUCUGAGAGAGUGAGAAGAGCAAGAGGGCGGCAGCCGGCAGCGCAUCUGAGAGGAGCUAGAGCCGAGAGGAAAAGGGCGGCGGCCGGCGGCCGGCGGUGCAUCUACUUCCCCAAGCCAUCGAUGGCCUGAAGGCCUGAAGGGAACUCGUCGACCUGUCCCUGGCUCCCUGCAGCGGUGCGUCCUGUUCUUGGCACGAUCCGGCGGCCAGGGGCAACACGGCUCCAUCUCCCUGAGCACCUGUCCUUGCCGGUGCCGUGCGACGGUGUGCCGCCGGCCGGCAGCCCAGCACCCAACAAAGGGCCGGUCCUCCGAACCUUCACAAGCAAGCAAGCAAAGCCAGCACAA